GACCUCGGGCUGCGUGUAAAGAAAAAAAAGGGAUUUCUUUUUUUUUUUUUUUCAUUCUUCUUUCUCCUCAACCGCAUGCCCCACCCCCUCUUCACUGUGCAAUCUCCGCCCCGCCGCUCGACUGUGGGUCCCCAGCCGCGCGAGUUUUCGCCAUUCUAGCCCCGUGUCGAUCAUUGCCUUCUUUUCUUCCUUGUUUGUCGACCCGACACAGACGAAGCCACUGAAGUCAGGGUUCGCGAGGCCCUCGUCUUCGCCAUCGACCGAGUCCGAAACCGCCAAACGCUGAAGUCGUGAGCCUUCUCGUCGACCUAAAAUGUCGAUCGGAUAGCCGAAGCUACAACUCGGAACCGCGUCGUUUCCAGCCACGCUGUCCUCUCCGUCUGCCUAUCACUGGUGCAGGUCACCGUGGAUCGCGGUGGUUUCGACCAUUUUGUCUAGUGGGGAACUUGUGGCGGUGAAGGAAGUUGUUGAGCGGAGCAAAGGUUCGUUUUGGGUCAAUUCAUAUCCUGAGGUAAGGGUAAUGACAGACUAACGCAUGGCAAGAGAGAUCUGUGAUCUGACCAUUAGGACGAUUUGCUGCUUCCGCACUUAGCAUUUUGUCCUGAAGUUUGGUUUAGGAGUUAGGCGUUUUACACUUUCAUGCAAAAAAUAUAAAUUUUAUCAUUUGACUAUUUAAUUGCCUUCAUUUUAAAGUAGGGUUUAGGGGUACCCCGAACGGUAAAUUUUUAUUUUAUUUUACUUUAUUUUUGUUUAGUUUAUUUAUUAUUAUAUAAUUAUGUUUUCUUAUCUUUGCUCAUUUGAGCAUUAUUAAAUAAAAUUUGACUCUUUUAUUUGAUGGUUUAAAAGAAAAUGUACGGUUAAGCCUAUGCAUGCAUGAAGUAGCGUCCUAGAAUGUGGUAGAGAAACUAGGGUCAUUACAGUUGGUAUCAGAGCAUAAGUUUUAAGUUGUGUAGACUGACUUACAACGUGAGUCUAAUCUGUUCCUUAUGGCCACAAAUGGAUCUUUCGUCAUCGCCAGGUAUAGCGCCACAAACUAGAGGAAGAGGCAGUCGAGGCAGGAAAGUAGUUGGGGAGUGGGACCUCGACCUGUAAAAACCCGAGGUGCAGAGUCAAGAGGUACGAGACCCGCCACCUCAUGUCCCAUUCGGGUCAACUUGGUAGAGGGUUAGACCAAGAAGCGGGCCUCGAGCUUCGACUGUGCCCCUGCCAAGACCGUCGUCCUUAGAAAUUCCAGUAGAAUAUACGGCUAUGGUUACAGCUAUUGGGAACGUCGUCACGCAUGCCGUGGUGGGACAACUAAGGGGCAUGGUGGACGAGCAGAUAGCCCAGCACAUACAAUCACAACAGGCGCCAUCCUCGUCAGUCCCGUUACCACCAGUUCAGAAUCAAAGAUAGAGCCACGAGUCGGACCGUGGCGGGCCCUUCUUUGGAAGCUAGAUACCUGCGAGAUUUCAAGAAGUAUGAUCCCCCGAUGUUUAACGGGUCCUUGAAAAACCCCACAAAUGCAAAAUUAUGGUUGUCCACUGUUGAAGGGAUCUUCCAGUACAUGAGGUGUCCAGAGAAGCAAAAGCUGCAGUGUGCCGCUUUCGUUCUCAUCGACAAUGCCAAGCGCUGGUGGCGCUCGGCUGAGAGAAUGAUAGAAGCAGUGGAGGGCAAGCCACGUGGGAUCAGUUCAAGGAGCAGUUUUACGAGAAGUACUUCUCUGCUCAUAUAAGGUAUAACAAGCAGACUGAGUUCAUGAACUUGAAGUAGGGAACCAUGACAGUAGAAGAUUAUGAAGAGGAGUUUGACAAAUUGUCUUGCUUUUCCCCUGACCUAGUGUUUACCGAAGCAAAGAGUGUUGAAAGGUUUGGGUAAGGACUCCGAGACGGGGUGCGAGGUAUUGUACAGGCUAUGGAGCCUCCCACUUUUGCUGCAGCCUUCCGAGCGGCAACACGCGUGGGUUAUCCUUCAGGAAUAGAAUUCCUAAAGUCCCUGACGGAGGAACCGACCCCUGACCAGAAAAGGAAAGUUAAGCAAAAAGCUCCGAGACCUCCGCAGAAGGUCUAGAGUACAAGCAGGUCAGUAGGGCCUAACGACAGGCAACGAAUUCAGGAGGAAUUUGGAGGGAACGACCGGUGUGCAAGUCAUGUGGGAAGUGUCAUUAGGGACGCUGUCUGAUUGGCACAGGGACUUGUUUCAGAUGUAAGCAAAUAGGGCAUACGGCAGACCAAUGCCCUAGCAGUGGUUCUGAAAGUGUAGGAGAUUAACCCCCGAGUUCGCAUUAGGGUAGUUCAAACUGACAGCAGCAGAAGGGUUGGGUUUUUGCCACCAGUCAUCGGGAAGCAGAGCACUCGGGAACAGUGGUGACAGGUACGCUCCCAAUCUUGGAACACUAUGCCUUAACGUUGUUUGACUCUUGCUCAUCCCACUCUUUCAUUUCUUCGUUGUUCGUAAAGUAUGCCAUGUUAGUUUUGAAACCUUUGGGUUAUGUUUUGUCAGUGUCUACACCGUUAGGAGAAAUUAUGAUAGCAAGUGAAAAGAUAAAAGCAUGUCCGUUAGUUAAUUUGGGAAAAGGAAGAGGGAAUUAGGAUUCUAAAGGGUGGGGACCUCAGGUUGCAUGUAAAGAAAAAAAGGGAUUUUUUUUUUAUUCUUCCUCCUCCAGCCGUACGCCCCCCUUCAUUGUGCAUCUCUACUCCGCCGCUCGACCGUGGGUCCCUAGCCGCGUAAGUUUUCGCCAUUCUAGUCGUGCCUCGUCGAUCAUUGCCUUUUUUUCUUCCCUGUCUGUUGACCUGACGCAAAUGAAGCCACUAAAGCCGGGGUUCGCGAGGCCCUCGUCUUCGCCGUCGAUCGACUCCGAAACCGCCAAACACUGAUGUCGCGAGCCUUCACCGUCGACCCAAAACGUCGAUCGGACAACUGAAGAUGCAACUCGGAGCUGUGUCAUUUCCAGCCGGACGUCCUCUCCGUCCACUUGUCACUGGUUCGGGUCGCCGUGGAUCGUGGUGAUUCCGACCGUUCUGUCUAGUAGGGUAAGUUCAGUUCCUUGUUUGGCAACCCAUUGUCUCUUGAGAUGUUGGGACCUUAGCUAACCUUCACCAUGGAAUUUGUGAUUGGUUUCAAGAACGUGUGGUGGUGAAGGAAGUUGUUGAGCGGAGCAAGGGUUUGUUUUGGGCUAGUUCAUAUCCUAAGGUAAGUGGUUUACUGUCGAUUGCCCUAAGAUUUUGAUAAGCCUUCUGAGAAAUUUUUAUGUCAUAUGUGAGUAAACUGUGAUGAAAUUUGUUAUUAGUAAUUAUGCUAAAGUUGACGUAUGAGAAUACUAUGAUGCGUACUGUGAUGAAGUUGGAUGUAAGGGUUAAGGGGAUACUGUGAUUAGGUGCAUGAGUAGGCUAGGGGUAGUGUGCUAAUGUUGAUAUAUGAAUAGACUGUGAUAAGGCUUGAUGUAUGAGUAGACUGUGGUACAGUUGAUGUUUGGGUAACGGUGUUAAAGUUUGAUGCUGAUUCAUGGCCUUGAUUGAUGUCUGGGAUUGUACUGACUGUUUGUAUGCUUAUGUCCAUAUGAGAUUUUAAUGGUUGUUAGUGUUACCAUUGGGCUAUGCACAUCGCAUGUGUGAACCUUCGAGCCCAUACUCUAUGCUUAUGUACGGUGUCCUUUUUGGGAUGACCACUUGUGUUUAUGUCUGUGACCUUUGUAUCACUACUUAUGAAAGCGUGCCUUUGGGUUCGCCCCUUAUGCCUAUGCUUAUGCCUAUGUCUAUGAUGUCCUUGUGCAUCUUGGUCCAAUGGAAAGACUAACAGAUCACUAAGUAGGCCCAGUAGUGGGCUACUUACUGAGUAUAUUUUUAUACUCACCCCUUCUUUUCCCUAUUUUUCAGGUAAGGGUAAUGACAGACUGGCGUAUGACAAGAGAGAUCCGUGACCUGGCCAUUAGGAUGAUUUGUUACUUCCGCACUUAGUAUCUUGUCUUAAAGUUUGGUUUAAGAGUUAGAUGUUUUACACUUUCAUGCAAAAUAUAUAAAUUUUAUUAUUUGACUAUUUAAUUGCCUUCAUUUUAAAGUAGGGUUUAGGGGUACCCUGAAUGGUAAAUUU